UGCUCGUGGUGCUGCCGCCGUUUCCUUGCAGCUGCUCCUCACGCUCGCGCCGCCGUCGUGUGCUCGCUCUGCUUCGCGCGUGUUCGUACCGCCCCGCCGCUCCUCCGCACGCUCGCGCCUCUCUCUCUCUCUCUCUCGCCGGCCGGGGCCCACAGAAAAUUAAUUACUUCCUCACACGCUCUCUCUCUCUCGCGAGUCUUGCCCGUUCUCGUCCCCAAUUACAGACGCCGCCGUAGCGAGCCCCCGAGAUCCUCGCCCCGCUGCCGCCGGGAACCGCCGUUCUCCUCGCGCUGCCGGGGAGGCGGCUCGGGCCUACGCCCGAUGAUCGCCCCGCCGCCGACAGGAACCACCGAUCUCCACGCGCCGCCGGGGAGGCGGAUCGGGCCUACGCAUGACGCUCGCGCCCCCGCCGUCGGGAACCGCUGAUCUCCUCGAGACGCAGGGGGGGGGGGGGGGGGGGGGGGCUCGAGCCUACUUCCGGCGCUUGCCGCUGCUAUGGUGGGGUGGAGCGGUGGCGAGGGCAUCGAGAUCCAGACGCGGGACACGACUGUUGGAGCGCCAUGCCGCGCAGCGUGCGGGGUGCCCAACGAAGGAGACGGGGGUGUUGGUGCCUGUGGAGAAGCGCAGUGGCGACCGGCACAGCGAAGGGGGUUGGGGCCAUGGCGAAGCGGAUGAUGGCACCGAACGCGCAACGAGGAUUGAAGGGUCCGUGGCCUCCAUUGGACCGGACAGGAAGUGAUACCUGGUGAAUCGUCGCCCCUUGCUCCCCUCCCCCCUUCUCCAUGUUAUCUUCUUACAUGCCUCUCCAACCCUUCCCUUUUCUCUGGAUCUGAGUUCAGUAAGCCGAUGAGGGCGGAGCCAUGGCAGAGUGCAGUUGAAUCGGGAUUACUUAGAUGGAGGAGAUAGAGUUUGACGAGGUUCAAGGCCGGCGGAUGGAGGAGAUGGUGCUCAAGAGGUGGCUGUAGCUCGAGAAUAUUUGUAGGAACAUGCUUGCAGAGAUUGAUUCAAGCAUAGUGCCUUAGAAAUGCAUUGCAUCGAUCAGUGAUAUAGAUGUUUCACUUAUCCAUCUGAGGUUGUCAUUAUUUAUACUAAUUAUCUCUCAUAUAUUGAGCCCGCAGCUUGGACAAGUUGGAGUUGGCAACAAUGAUGAUCACUGCUCCCCAGUACAGGAAUAGAAGUCCAUUUUUUCAUAGAAACAGAAAAUUUCCCAAGUUGCUUGUGGAUGGAGACACCCAUUUGCCCUUUCUGAAAGGAGAAAAUUUUUUCUCCUGGUGAAGGGGUAGCAGCGGACAACUCAGCAGUAGCAAAGUAGUCAAGAGACAAUAGGAAUGCGCUUUAAGACCAGACGGUUCUGGCUGCAAGAAUUUUCAGAGGCUCCAUUCUCAGGUGUCAGAUCGUGCUCUAGUAGUUGCAGCUUUUUAUAGAUGUACAUGUACUAAGCCUUUUCCAUUCCCGCCUCUCUUUUUUCAUAUCAUGAUAUCGCUUGGCUGAUGAGGGCAGGCCAUGCAUAGGCACAUUUAAAUCGGAACGAGGCAGAGGCUGAUUUCUUCUGGUUGAUUUUUCAAAACAUAUGGAAGUGCCCCUAGUUUAUGUAUACAAGUUCUGCUAGUAAUAUAUAAAUUAUUGUUUCCGUACAAGUUUUUCUCUGCAAGUUAUAGCCACAAGUUUUUGUCUGCAACUCAUAUCCAAAAGUUCUAUGUUUAAAAUUUUUGCUCAAAUAAAUGUUCUUCCAUUUAAGAUUAUAAGUUAUGCAUUAGAACCAUUGUGUUAUAUAGUUUGUUUCAAUGUAAGCCCUCUCGGGAACUUAUUAGCAUUUAGGUUAUUACAAAUUUCUUUCUUAUACAAGUUAUAGCUGCAAGUUAUAUCUUUGUUUUCAUGAACAUUAGAUUGCUUCAAUAUAAGUUCUUGUCAGCAUGUUAUGACCACAAGUUAUGUCUCCAGCACAAGUUAUUCAUUUAUGUGUUGAAAAUUAUUAGUUUUGCAUCAUAGCAUUGCCUUAUAUACUUUGUUUCAAUAUAAGUUCACUUAUUAGCUAGCUUAUAUUACAAGUUAUUUUCAUAAGUUAUAUACAUAAGUUCUACUGUAAAUUGUUAGCUUGUCUCUCAUUAUAAAUUUGCUCUACAAAUUAUGGCUACAACUUAUGUGCACAAACUUUUGUCUGGCAAAUUAUAUGGACAAACUAUAUGCAACAAGUUAAUAUAUUUGAAAAUUUUGCUAAUACAGAAGUUAUACAAAAUCUAUGGCCUUACCUAUGCAUGCAAACUUUAUGUGACAAGUUAAACUGCUGUUACAUGACUUUAUUGUGAUAACUUACAGAUUUGUUUAUAUAAAUUUGUGUAUAUAAAUUUUGUUUAUGCAUAUAUAUUUUAUUUUAUUGAACAUGUUUGCCACAUAUGUUUGUCUACAUAAAAAGUUUGUCUACAAAAGCCUGCACAAAAGGUAUAGGUACAAGUUAUUUAGAAAAAAGUUUCUUUGCAAGUUCUGCAUAUAAGUUCCUACAUAGAUGCUACAGAGAAGGUCGGCCUUCAAUGUAUCGACAUUUUUCAUGGUUAGGAUUGAAUUUUUAUAGUUUAAUUAUAUGUCUUUUGUUGGAAAUCAGUUUUAUUUGGUAAAUCUUGAUACUAAUCUUUUCAGUAGAUACUAAUCUUUUUCAAGCAAGUACAUAGAAGGUCUACAAGAGUUGAUAUACUGAACAUGCCAGUAGUUUUUGGAAGUGUUUCAAGCAUCAUGAGUUAGUUGAGUUUUUUUUCAUAAAUUAGAACCUUGUUCCCCUUUUCUAUGACUAGUUUUUUUUUGUGUGGUAACACUUGUGCCCAGUUUUCUCCUAAUCUAAUCAUUUUUUUCACUUGUGCCUUGUGUGGUAUUUGUUUUUCUAUUUUAUUUUUAUUUUUUCAGGGCAACCAUGAACUGACACGAGCCUGUGCGUGGAGUUUUUUUUUUCAAAUGGAUGAUUAGACCCUUUUUAUGGGGAACAGAUGAUGUCAAUUACUUGUAUUUUAUAUACUGUUUUUCUUGGACAAGUUGAUACUUAUUUUUCAUCCCUAAAACUUACGUGAUAAAGUUAUAUUCAUAAGAUUUCGUAUCUA